AUUGAACGCUGGCGGCAGGCCUAACACAUGCAAGUCGAGCGGGGGUUUUCGGACCUAGCGGCGGACGGGUGAGUAAUGCGUAGGAAGCUGCCCGAUAGAGGGGGGAUACCAGUUGGAAACGACUGUUAAUACCGCAUAAUGUCUACGGACCAAAGUGUGGGACCUUCGGGCCACAUGCUAUCGGAUGCGCCUACGUGGGA
rnacentral:rRNA from 1 species